ensembl:lncRNA
UCUCAUUGUUUCUAGUACAGAAACCUCACUUCUUCUUAAUCUUUAUCCAAUGCAAAUUAAUGGCUUACAGUAUGGAGAAGCAAGAUUAUUUACAGGAGCAUUAAAAAGAAUGACAAACAGGUUUUUGGCCUCUGCUUGGCACCUAUUGCCAUGUUACUGGCUUCUGUGUUUAACAUCCAAACAACAAUAUUUGAAUAUAAAAAGAUUUUUCUUUGUCCUCUGAGUAUUCUUGUAUUGGAGCUAUUAAUUAGCUUGUUUAAUCGCCAAGAGUAAAAUAGCGCACACAAUUCAAACUGGUUUAGCUAUCCAGUGCAUGAGCUCAAAGUCUUAUUUGGUGACUAAUUGAUCUGUUAGACAAAGAGGAAAAAAUAGUACUGUGAGAGCUCAAAAUACUUUUGGUCUCUGUGGAGUUAUUUACAGCAUUAAAAACUUUAUCCCGAGACCAGAAAAACUGAACAACAUGGCCAGAGCGAGGAAGUGAAACCAAGAAACUAUUUGGAUAUAAAGUCACGUAAAAAGCUGCAAAUAAAUAAGUUCCUAACUGAAAGCCUGAGCUACUUACAUCAUUUAAACAGUAUUUCAGAUCGUUUGGCAUCAUUUAGUGACAGGAACUGGGUGCAAUUAGCUUGAAAGCUCCCCGAUACCCCGGAGUCCCCAGGCUAGGCUUUGUGUUUUCAACAGUAUUUCUGACCUUUGUAAAAUUUCCAUGCAAGUCUGCAAUCUACAAUACUACAGAUUCCUGGUCGUGGUGGAAUUCCUUGUGACUGACAGGGGAUGCUGACCUGUUUUAUGUGCUGGCUGUCUUAGGUCUCAGGAAAGCCAAUAAGUCUCGGAAAAUCUUUUGUUUAAAUGAUUGUGGGAAGCAAACAUUGCCAAGCUCAAAAGCAGCUGAAAUGAUGGCCAGUUUUUCUUCACCUACUUCAUUUUACGUACAUUUGAAAAUUUUACACCAGGUUACUGAAUAAUUUGGCGAUUAACAUGUUAAACUUGGCCAUUUCCAUUUUAUCUGGCUUACCUCAAGUAUGCAAGCAACAAGACAGAGCAGGUAACCAAGUCCCAUCCACUUUCAGCAGCAGGUGAGUUUAGUUCUCAUAAAGGGUGGAAUUCAACAGGCAUCUUAUUCCUUUUGUUGCCAUCUCCCUUCACAAAAAAUAAUAUAAAUCAAACAAACAAAAACAACACAGAAGCCUUCGCAAGAAGCAAACCAGACAAAACACUUCAGUUUGGCACUCGCCUCCAUGAGGAAAGCAGUGGGAGGUAUGCAGCCAUCUUCAGCUUUUCUGUCUUAAAAACUUCUUCUGGAAAGCCAGAGUGGGCUUUUCUAAUUCAUUCCAUAAUUCUCCUCUACAAAAGAAACUAGCACCUUUGCUAUUUAUAGUGAAGUCAAAAAGCACUGAAGGAUGUAGCUGAAACGCUCCAAAGCUGGGGAUAAGGGAGAGAAAAGUGAAACAGGAGGAAGAAUAUUUAGGAAGGACAGAAGAAUUAAUUUGGAUAAUACGCCCUGCAGCUCUCCCAGUUCUCUUUGUGGAGAUACAAACCAGACUGUUCAAAAUAGGCUCUGUACUGAGCUACAGCUUUUCGCAGAACUCAAUCUUUUAGCAUCCAUUAAAACAUGUUAAACUGUUUCAGUGUAGUUUUUCAUCCGGAAGAAAAUGGAGGCAACACCAUAAAUACAUCCUGGCUACACUCCUGUUCCCACCAAAGGAGAAUGGAUUCAAUAACCCACUGUCCCACUUCCCUACUAGGCACUGCCCAACAAGCACGCAUGAACUCACAGGCAGGCCCUCCCAUUUUACCAGUGUCCAGCCCUUUCCCUCCAGAACUAUAAGUCAGUGGCACUUCAGCCCACUCAGCAUCAUCUCCUUCUCCACCUCCUUUUCUCCCCUUCCUGUCUCACCUAGUCACUAUUUGCCUCCCACAUUAUCUCCAGCUUUCCAUGGCUGUUCCUUCCAUGCCUUUUCUCCAGGUAGAAAGAGACUGGAGAGAAGAGGAUGUCCUGCUGCUCUCACUGCACUCACAGCUGCUGCAGCACUUUCAUGUCUCAAUUAGUGCCACUUAAAACAUUAAACAUUUGUGUGUUUUGCUUUUUCUUUGAGAAAUGUCAGCCUCCUCCUGUUCCUGUCCUUCAAGCAUCACCCAGCACACCAGGGUGAGAGCACUCAGGGCUUUGCCGUUUCACUUCACUGGGGCUAGAGUUUCCCCCUUCAUAUUUGCUAUGCAAAUAGGUGAAGAGACACAUUAAGUAACUAAUUACCAUGCUUUAGUCAACCUUCCUGAAACAGCUCUGAAAAUAGUUAUUUAUACAUUAGUAUCACUACUAAUGUGUGCUGGAGGAAGUUCAGCAACACCAGACGUGGCUGCAUGGGAGCCAAUGAAAGCAGCUGUGCUGAGAGCCGCAGUGCUUGGAUCAGGGCAGACCAUGAAGCAGGACAAGCAGGGCUGGGGGGCUUGCAGCACAGUGCACAACGUGUGAUUUCUGAUAAUAAAAAGCUUUUCUCAGCAAGGCAUUCCCAAGUGGGUAGGACAUUACUUUUCUGGCACUGAUCCCUGAGAAGAAGGACCAAAAGGCUUUCAAGGAGGAGAUCUUGGUAUAGUUGUGGAUCAUGUUUUACUGUAUUUGUUUCAGGUUGUAGCUUUCUCAUCCUAUGAAAUAGCCAAGUCAAGGGCAUUAAGCCUCAUCACUGAAAGGUUAAAAGAAGAACCACUGAACAGAAGGAAGAGAAGAUUAUGGGCAUGCAAGGGACUUAUUCUGGGGGGGGGGUCGAAAGAGUUCCCUCAAUCCUGAUGUCAAUGAAUCAAACCUGGGGAGCUAGCCAAAAAAAAAAACAACCCAACCAAACAGUUGUGCUACCCCACCUCCUGUCCAGUCUGCACACCCAUUUGGUGCAAUCACAUGAGAGGGAGCAUCGUCUCUGCAAUGUAAAAGCCUCUGGAAAUACAAGUUUUACACGAUGAACCAACAGCAGUCAUUCACCUGCGGCUAAAUUCUCAGUGUUUGUUCUGCACAACAUUUUUCCCCAGGUGAUAAGCCUGCAAGUCUACUGGAGAAAAAGCACGGUGAAGUGCAGUUUAUCUCAGCAAGCUCUGCCUUUUCCUAAUACGACUGCGACGUGCCAAGGCGCUCCAGGAAAAACAAAACAGAACAUGAAACCACCUCACUUACAGGGAUGACGCAGACUAAGUUCAGAAGAGACGAGGAAGACUUAGGGUUUUGCUCAGGCAUAACAGAUAUGUCUAAGCAUCAGUCAUCAAUUCUGCCACCACUCGUAAAAGGUGCAACACCGAUACAUUCACUCAGAGACAGCUGGGAGUCACUUUUCUGGUUUCUGGUGUAUGCCCUCCCCCGUGCAAGCAAGGAUACAGACAGGUCUUCUAAAGAUGGCUGGGAAUCAGACAGUCUGUGUUUCUGCUAAGGACUGACUUCCUGACUACCCUUGCACAAAUCUCACCCACCUCACAUCCCAUUUCGGAGCUUCAGAAUGAAAAUGCUACUUUUGUCUUCCUGCCAUCUUAGUUGGAAUGCAAAUCUGAUGAGUUCUUCAGUCUUUCCCAGCUGUCAUUCCACAAUGAAAAAUGAUGCACUGGAGAGAAAGGAAUGUUAUAGCCUUCAUUUCCUCAGUAGCCUCCUUUAUAAGAACAGAAUCUGGCCUGGCAGUCCUCCUUCAUAAAAUGUAGUAGGACCUGACUGACACUACAGGAGUUAUCACAUUUGAGUUGCAGCUUGGACCACUGUAAUUCAUAACAAAACUCUGCCUUCUCACAUUUUUAAAAUAAGACAAAGUCAAAAUACUUGCAUAUCAUAAUUCAUGUACUGUCCUGUUGCUAUUUUAUCACUAGAAUUUGACAGCAGGGGCUGCCUCAAGCACUGAAGUCUUCACUGUAGCAAUUACUGUGCAGUUGCUUUCAGAAACAGCAGAAGAGCAACAAAAGCCAUCUUGUGACAAAAACAGGGACAAAGCUACCAGAAAUUUGAUAGCUCUACCCUGUUUUGUUUAGAUAAGCCCAUAUCACCCUCACGCUCAGCUACCAUUGGCUUUCUAUACUUACUUCUGCAUUUCAUUUUCACUUCUUUAAGUUGACUUAUUGCACAGCCGUGUGCUCGCUCAUAGCAGCCCCCAGGACAGGUGGGGAAUAGCCACCUCAGUACAGCCAGGGAAGGGCCACACUUCUAGGAUGCGGUGUAGAAGCACAUCGCAUUACUGAUGAAUGCUAAGAAUAGCUUGAAUGGCAAUUAAAAAGACAAGCACAAGGAUUUCAGUGAGCUGUAAGGCCUUUUUAACAGCAGUGUUAAGAUCUUAUGUUAAGUUGAAAUACAAUAAUUGCAGAUGCCUGAAAGCUGUACAAGUUAUUCUAUAGCUGCUGAGCUUCAUUUUGCCAACAUGCAAUAAGGACUAGCUGCUCCUUUACAAGAAGCCAGGUACAGUAACAAGGCUAGAAGCACUAGCCUCCUAUUACCUGAGCAAGGCUGGCUUAAUAACAGCAAGCUGAUUUAAUCAAGUAUCCAGAUUAUCCAGCAACUUGCAGUGAUGAUGCAGGCCCAAGGUCAAGCCAGGAAAUCAAUCUACAGGUCAGGUCAAAUCCAGUGGGACCAACCACAGUCAGACAAAACUCAGUAAGUACUCAGCAGAUGCAAGAUGACAGAAUAAGCCCAAAAUCAAGAUAAAAAUUCACCUUGUAGAUCAGCCAGGAAGUCUGUGACUGAUUUAGAGAUCAGCACUAAUGCAACAAAGCCCAAAGAUCACAAAGAACUAAACCUGAGUUUAAGGAUUGCUCCUGGGCUGAGGGCCAGAGGGUGUGGGUCUCAGGUGAGGUUGGUUAGUCACAUUUCAUUCAUUUACAGUAAACAAAAGAAACCCAGCACCACCCUUCUUCAGCAAAUCCAGUUUCUCUAUCACUGUAUUUAUAAAAAAAAAAAAAGAUUUCUGAAGAAGUGUAUUGCCUCAAAUGGAUAUCACAGGACUACCUAGGCUCCAUUGCUCUGCAAUCUAAUUUUCAAGCAGUUGUUGGCAUAGCUGGCUCUGCCCAGGACUAGUGACUCCUCAGCAGGCAAUCACAUUGCUCUCAGCCUACUGACAAGCUCUGAACUGUGCUCAUCUGCAGCCAUUUCAGCUGCUUCUGGGAAAAUCACAGGAGCACUGUGUGUUGCUUGAAUUGGUGUGGCCAGUUCUGUUGCUCCUAACAAUAUCCAGCAGCACCUUGCGGACCAGACUAUGUCUAUGUCCUCCUCAAAUCAUGGGUCUUAAUGAUGUCUCCACUAGGGAAUCCACGAGAGCAAUGUGUUGGAGAUUCUUGGCUAUUAUCCCCAUCUGUUUUAUUACAUAUAUAUUUUUUUAAUAUCGUUGCUUAAAAAUGCAUUUCCUAGAGAUAUUAGCAAUUAAUUGCUAUCUACUAGAUAAUAUAAUUAAUCAUAAAAAUGAAAGAUGUGUUAUCAAGGAACUUUCCCAGUGCUGAGAAUUGCUCUGAUCAAGUGAUAGGAAGUGAAUUAAGAGGUGAAAUAUUGAUAUUAUAACAAAUACUUCUUCUAAAGUAGAACUAAGGGAGAGAAGUAUGAGAAACAUGGACCGUUACGGGCUCUAUGAAGAGUCAACAGGUGAAAAAUACUUUUCUCUAGAGUCAGAAAGUUUUUGUAUAUUUUUCACCACAGAUGAUAAAGAAAGGAAAGAGAUAAGUGCAGAGGAAGAUACAUACAACAAAAUAAAGAGAAAUGUGCAAGAAGGCUUUCAAAGGACUUGAACUCUGCUGUACUGUGUCAGAAAUCCUCUCAUUUCACUAAAUAAAAGUAUUCCCUAUAAAAUAUCAAGUAUAUACUGGAUAUCUUGCUGCAGAAAAAAUAAGACGACAAGGCACUGUAGUUUUGUUGUGUGAUAUAAUAAUUAAGUAUCAUAGAAUCAUAGAAUCGCUAAGGUUGGAAAAGACCCACAGGAUCAUCCAGCCCAACCAAUCACCCUUCACCAAUGGUUCUCACUAAACCAUGUCCCUCAACACAACAUCCAAAUGCUCUUUGAACACCACCAGGCUCGGUGACUCCACCACCUCUCUGGGCAGCCCAUUCCAGUGCCUGACCACCCUUUCAGAGAAGUAGUAUUUCCUAACGUCCAGCCUGAACCUUCCCUGACGCAGCUUGAAGCCAUUCCCUCUAGUCCUAUCCCUAGUCACACGAGAGAAGAGGCCGUCCCCCAGCUCACUACAACCUCCCUUCAGGUAGUUAUAGAGAGCAAUAAGGUCUCCCCUGAGCCUCCUCUUCUCCAGACUGAGCAAUCCCAGCUCCUUCAGCCGCUCCUCAUAAGGCCUGUGCUCCAGACCCCUCACCAGCUUUGUUGCCCUCCUCUGGACACGCUCCAGGGCCUCGAUGUCUUUCUUACAGUGAGGGGCCCAAAACUGGACACAGUACUCGAGGUGCGGCCUCACCAGUGCUGAGUAUAGGGGGACAAUUACUUCCCUGUUCCUGCUGGCCACACUAUUUCUGAUACAAGCCAGGAUGCCAUUGGCUUUCUUGGCCACCUGGGCACACUGCUGGCUCAUGUUCAGUCUAGCAUCAAUCAACACACCCAGGUCCAUUUCCUCUACAAGUAAAGGCAUUGUCCUUUGUCAAUGCUUUCAAUUUUAAAAUAGAUAAUGAAUACAUAUUUAAAGAAAUCAGUAUUUGCUUGCUUAUUUCGUGCAAAACAAGCUACUCCCUCUAUCCGUAUUUUAUAUAAAAUACUUCAGACUUGAAAACAGUUGUUUGUGAAACAGAUUUGAAAUAUCAACAGCUGCCUCUGGCUGAGCUCUCUGUCUUAUCCCAGGGACGAGUUAAUCUUGUUGUGAUUGCAGUUGCUUGAACAGUGUAAUCAAAUGAAGGAACAAUGCAUACAAACCCAGUUUCGUUGUUUAGUUCAACAGACCGUACUAAACUGAAAGAAGAAUCUGUAGUCAUUUUUGCCAAGUACUGCUAAAAGUCCUUUAGCUUAAUGGUAUUUCUUAGAAGAAAAUAAUUCCAUUCUCCUUAUCUAGCUUCUAAUACCAGAACAAUGCUGUUUUGGAACUAGUUCACAAAUAACCAGGUCAAAGUAUAUUUAACAAAUGGCUUCUACGCAUUUAUCUUUUUCUAGCACUGGUCAUGAACUAUUUAAAGCUUUUUUUUUUUUUUUUUUUUUUAAAAAUCAGAGUAAAUGUAAUCUGUUCCAAAUGGCUGUCAUUCAGCUGGUACAUUGUAUUCAGCAAUAUGCUGCAAUAUACCUUUGCUUUGUAGGGUAAAAGAUGUUUCUUUGUUUACAUUUUGUCACAUCCCCUGCAAUGGAUGCUUCCUUCAUUAGCUGAUUAAAAGCCCUGAAGUUCAUGGAAAACAUUGCAGCGAAAGCUUCUCAAAGGUCUCAUUACAGAUUUAUUGUAAUAGUUGGCUUUCUGGGCAUGCAAAGAGUUCUUGAACACAAAAUCAGGGGAACUAAGAUAAGAAUUUCUCAAUCUUUCCAUGCAAGCACUGUUAAAUUUCCAGCAGAUAUGGUCCACCACUUCUGUUAUGGAAAAGAGCUUGCUUUUGUGCUUUUCAAAUAUCCAACAAAGCUAAAUACUUAUUCUUCUCCGGAUUGAAAAAUAUCAGAAUAAAUAAAGGAUAAAGCGAAAGUGAGAGAAUGAACGAAGGAGUUGGCAUUUGGGGGAGAAGAAAGAAGCAGUGUAGGUGGGAGGGAAAUGAAAGAAAAAAAGGUUGAGUGGGUUGCAAAAGAACAGUUAGGUGAAUUGUGAGAAGAGAAACUAUCACUAAGGAAAAUCAAGAGUGCAAGAAUAGAACAGCUUAAGUUAAAUAAAAACACUGCUGCUUGAGCUCUCAAUCUUUCAGGGAACAUUACUUAAGCGCUUCUGAACAAAAGUUCUUUGAGGCCCCAUCCUACUGUUUGUUUCUUCCAGAGCUAUUCUCGCAGUUCAUUUACAACAGGACUCGAAUGCUGAUGAUGACAUCUUCUGAACUGGUACUGUGUAUACAGUGGUUCUUAGUAUACCAACUCCUGAAAAAAAACCACAACUCUCCCUCCAAUGUUUAUCAGGAUGAGAUCUGAUGAGUUCAGAAGCUGCUGGAGUUCUUAUGAGUGGUAACAAACCUGACAGUUUUUGCUUUUACCAGAGUAUGCUUCAGUUCACUUCAUUACAGCCAGACCUCCACAUUUUGAGUGACAUAAAGUAUUGACUCCUCUAGCGAGGAUCUGUUAGUGAAAUUGGUACAUCAAUACUUACUUUCCUAACAAGCAGAGGAUCUUCUAAAGAUGAUUAAGAAUGCUUAAUCUGCCACAUACAGAUGAUACCGUUAAAAUCAAUACAAUUUAGCAUGUGCUUUAUUCUUAUUUAUGAUAAACUUAAUCAUGUCCUUAUCAGUUUCGAUAGAAGCUAAGUGAUACCAGUUAUAUGAUACUACACUGGUUCUUACAGGCUUUCUGCAUUUUUUCUUUUUAAAUACAUUUUUAAUCUAUAAACACUUCUGGAAAGUUGCUUGGUUUUCACAAAUCAGUUUUAUUAGAAUUUGUUUUAUUUAUAGGUAUAUUUAACCUCGUUUAUUACUUUCAGUUAGAGCACACUCUUGGUUCCUUUAAACCAUUUCUCUAGAAAACAGCAACUUCCAGGCACAAAAGAAUAAAGACAAGAAAUGGACCAGGGGGGGUAAAACAAAGGAAAACAAAUUAAUAGUAGGGUCUGAAGUUACUAAAUCUCUUGUAAUGUGAGGAGAAAAGUAGUAUGACCAAUAUCAUUAACUUCUGAAGGUCUUGAAUGUCUUCAGAACUUUUUUUUUUUUUUUCCCCUAGAAGUAUCUUUCUGUAAGAUGCUAAGUGGUAGGAAUGAGAAAGAUACCUGCUCCCAUCUUGCUUCUGUUCUACUUUUGAGAAGGAGUCUCUUCUUGGAACAGAUGAUUGCAGUGAUAAAUUUGCUUUAGAAAUUUGUGAUCCUCUCACAUAAAUGUUAUAUCAGAACCUUUAACAAGAUCAACAUACUCAAUGUCAUUAGAGAUUCCUUAUAAAACAUACAUUUGUUUUGACUUACUAGCCUUAUCGCAGCUCUCAAAACCUUUCUUCUACCUAAAGAAUAUCUGCAACAAUGUUCCUGUUAUGAAAGAGCCUUCAAUUCUCUUGAUAUAAUUAGGUAAGUUUAUUUGGCUUUUUGUUUAGCUAAAAGGACAGGAAUCAAGAUGGCACAGUCACUGUAUUUCAUUAUUUCCCACAUCAUUAACUUUUGUGCUACUUAGAACUUUACUAAAAGAAAUUUCUAAACAGUUGUCCAUCAAAAAAGACAGUUCAGCUAGAUAUUUUCUAAGAAUUUUACUGAUGUAAUCCUGAAAAAGUGAAGUACCUGCAUUCUUUUACUGUAUUUCUGAAACGUUUAGAAACUCCAUGCAAAAAUUUUGGAAGAAACUUAUUAAAAUGGACUUAUUUUAGCAUUUUUUUUUUAAUGAAAAACAGAAUUCAUGCUGCUGGUAUCAUUUGAAGAGGUAAUAUCACACAGACAAGAUCAUCUGCUCUCUGACUAGCUCUAAUAUUAAUGUUCAUGCAGAUUACUUUCAGGAAGUAAGCCUCCUACAAACCACUAAUGACUUUUCAGAUCCAUUAGUCUGUUAUGUAUUAUUAAUUUGAAGCAUUACUGAUUAAUGUUGUAUGUAGAUUUAUUUCUGCUCCUACAAUAUAAAGAACUAGCACCUUUUAUUACAGUUCUUAGAUGGAUGGUAUGUUACUGCAUGAUAUAUUUGGGUCCUUUGUUAGUUUCCAUCUCUUCCCCUGCUCUUAUCCGUCCUCUGUUAUACUGUCCUGUUUGCCCCCUUAACUACUGUUUCUAAUACUCAAAAAUAAAAAAGUUAGGUCACUUCCAUUCACCUAUUUUGUAAGAAGACUUUGGAAAGUUCAAAGUUGAGCAAAAAGGGAAAACUCUAGCAUAUGUAGCAUUACAUUUUUCAAAGGUAGCAGUGGUGCUUCACAUUCAUUGCCCCUUCCAGAGCCUGACUCAGCCACUGGACACACACUGCUCUGCCUUUGGCUGCUACUCCUGUUAACAGAGUGUGCUGCCUGCUGCUGCUACCCCAGAGCAACAGCCCAUCGCUCCUCAUGCCAUCCCUCCAUGGACCAGAUCGUCUGCAGUGCCCAGUUACAUAGCUUUCCCCAGCACUGUUUUUCUCAUGUUUCAUUCCCAGCAGUACAGCAGAGUGCAUGCAAAGAGUGACCAGCCCCUGCACAACCAAAUCCAGCCCUGUAAUCUCUUGAAUCCAGAAUCUAUAAACACCACUUCUUUUAUCUUUUUAACGAGUAACUUACAGAACGUGUAUGUUCCCCUAGCUUUCAUCUAGAUAGCUAGUUAAUUAUUUCCUACAGUGAACACUUCAGUCAUUAGCACCUCUGAAUUCACCUAUCUUCAGUUUUCUGCAGGCUGUUCUACAGGUGUCUUACAGCUCGUGUUUUUGUUAGACCGCAUACAUUUUGUAUCCCUAUGUAAACAAAGGCAUGGGAACACAUUAUAUAAUAUGCUCUUUUUAAUGCACCCCAGGAUACCAUCAGCCUUCUUGGCUACAAGGGCACGCUGCUGGCUUGUGACCAACCUGUUGUCCACCAGGACCCUCUCAGUAUUACUCUAUUUAUUUCCUCCUUAAAGAUUACAGAGCACUUAAAUGGCAUGAGUUUGCUGAGGAGAGCUGCUGAAUAUGUUAACAAUGAACACUCUCCUCUACAAAGAGCAAGGAAAAGAAGCCGAUUUUAGAAGCUGUGGAUCUUGCAGGCAUGUUUAAAAUUAAGAAUGAAAAGAGGGAAGAAACAUCUGGUGUUCGCUGAACCUUUGUAAACUGCUUUCAGACAAGCUCGGUUGGUAUUUUGGACACAGAACAAAGGGAGGGAACAAAGGCACCUGACAGACCUCUGGAAAGACACAGCCCAGGCCUUGGAGCCUGCUGGGAGACAGCGAUAGCCAGGAGAUGACAAAGGGAGAGGGGUGGGAGUGGAAAUGGCUGGAAGCAGCACUGUGGUCACUCCAGACACGCACAGAGACACAGAUACACUUGCCCCAGCAGCGCUUCGGGUGAUUAGGAAUAAAACUCUUGGAUCUCAUCCAAUAGAAUAUUGAAAUACUAAACAGACUUCCCUUCAGGAAUAUUUUCUCCUUUCUUUUUCCUUUCCCACACCAAGAAAUCAGAGAUAAUCAAUUUAAAGGCUUUUGAACUCCAUUCCCCAGACCUAUGAGAACAAGCCUUUGAUUUCAAGAGAGAAGUACAAGUGCUAAUAGUUGAUAUUAAUAUGAAUGCAGAAAUAAUGUUAACUUGGAAAAUAUCUAUUUACUCCCAGGUAAGCAUGUAUAGAAAAAUGUACGAAGCUCUAAGCUUUAAGACUUCCAGCUGUCAACUUACUAGCAAACCAAAGAGAACAGUUCAAUAAGUGUCUUAUUUCCUUCUAUCGCUCACCUGCAAAUGCAAAGAAAAUGUCACGUAAAAUACCAUUUCUGACUUUCUCACAGACACACUGUAUUCCUCACUGGCUAAGCCAAAGUAUGAGAAUGUUUACCCAUUUAAACCUUAUGUUUCCUUAUGUCAAGAGGGAGAGCAACCAUCAGUGAAAGUCAGAGCCUCAGGAAAAUUCCAAUAGUAAGUGCUGGAGUGUGGUGCUCUCUUGAAGACUAUGCAGUGAACUGUCCUUUUCCACAGUAGGAAAUCUUUACCUCAGUGUCCCCAACCUCUGUAAAACUCAAGUACAAAAUUGUCUUCCCUGACUCCUGCUAAAUGUACACUGGUUUUGACCAUGCAUGGGAGACGCAAAGAUACAGUUGAAAAACAGGAGCACUGCUGGCAAUUUACAGGCUUUGAUGACAAACGAUCAGUCUGCUGCAUAUUUGUUAACUAAUGAUACACCAUGCCAGAGCUGCACUGCCGGUUAUGACACAGGUCACUUUGUCCCUCCUAUCUACCUAGCCUGGGUUAACCCCUGGAAGUUAACCAACCUCAUUGCUCAGCUCCAGGAGUUCAGCAGCUCUUGUUUUUAGACUGUACAUAUCAUAUUCUGAUAAAUAAACAUUUGAAACAAGUCAUAGCAAAAACAUGAAAAUAUAAAAGUGAAAGCACUGAACUUUUACAAACGACAUAAUGCAAUACCCCUGUAUUUACAUUAGUCCUGUUAUUUACUGAAGUAAUGUCCAAACAGAUCAAGUACGUGGCACAUAAUUGUUUCUUACAACGUGGAGGUUCUUUAUGCUAAAAGGGUAUCAAUUAUUUAAUUUACAGAAGACUUCAAGUUUGCUGACUAUAACAGAAAAUUAAAAUAGAACGGGGAAGGGUGGAGGGAGAAUCUUAAAUCUAACCACAACAGCUUCAGAGACCAAGAAAGCACUAUCCUGUGUGAAAUAUAUUACCUUUCCUGUUGCUUUCCUUUUAAUACAAAGUAAGUGUAAGAUGGCGCACAUAAAUUACCUAGGCUUGCUGAUUAACUGCCUGAGUUACAGUCAAAAAACUUCUGUAUAUAAAAACUGAAAUAUAGCAUUUACCAUUUCUUCUGUUACCACGAGACCAUUUCAUUUUCAAAUCAGUAAAUUUCCUUUGGAAUUCAGUAAAUAGAUGAAAAAUUGGCAUUAUUGCUAACAAUGUUCUUUACCAUUAUUUGUUGAAAAGGGACAGGUGUGUCAGCUUUUCAGUACCUUCUACUUUUAUACUAACAAUUUAUGUUCAGGAAAAGCUGUGAGCUGUUCGAGCCUCUGGCAAAACACGACAAACAACUGUUGUGAACAAAACCGUUUAGUAGAACGCUAGAGAGCAUUCUACUAGUAGAUAGUAGAAUGCAGCCUUGCAUGAAGAAAGGUUUCUGCCUUAAACCUCCGAAAGAGAACAGUUCAACUAGUAAGAAACUUUUCUACAAGUGAAGACCUAUGAUGACUUUUCUGGAAAAAAAAAAAAAGAAAAAAGAAAAAACCAAUCUCGGUGUGUGUCAUUUUUGGUUUUGUUUGUUUCUUUGUUUAUAUGCUCUUAUGGUGGGACAAGAUCAUUAGAUACUGAAGAGGAGGAAUAGUAUGGAGAAGGAUAAGAGACCUGGG